rnacentral:rRNA from 1 species
AGUGAACGCUGGCGGUAGGCCUAACACAUGCAAGUCGAACGGCAGCACAGGAGAGCUUGCUCUCUGGGUGGCGAGUGGCGGACGGGUGAGGAAUACAUCGGAAUCUACCUUUUCGUGGGGGAUAACGUAGGGAAACUUACGCUAAUACCGCAUACGACCUACGGGUGAAUGUGGGGGACCGCACGGCCUCACGGGAUUAGAUGAGCCGAUGUCCGAUUAGCUAGUUGGCGGGGUAAUGGCCCACCAAGGCGACGAGCGGUAGCUGGUCUGAGAGGAUGACCAGCCACACUGGAACUGAGACACGGUCCAGACUCCUACGGGAGGCAGCAGUGGGGAAUAUUGGACAAUGGGCGCAAGCCUGAUCCAGCCAUACCGCGUGGGUGAAGAAGGCCUUCGGGUUGUAAAGCCCUUUUGUUGGGAAAGAAAUCCUAUCAGUUAAUAACCGGUGGGGAUGACGGUACCCAAAGAAUAAGCACCGGCUAACUUCGUGCCAGCCGCCGCAGUAACAC